CGUGGCGCUGAGGAGGGGUACGUCACCCUAUGCCCAGCUGUGUCAGGAGUGUGCGUAGUGGCGGUGUCGGGUGGUGACGCAGUACUCCCCGUGACGGAGACCUCGCCCGCCAGUCAGGGAGUAGUGAGAGGCGAGGGUUAGCAGGCGUCCUCCUCGACCUUUCAGUGUACCGAAGCGCUGCCGAAGACGUGGCUGGCGAAUCUUCUGACGAGAUAGACGAAGCGGAGUGGACGGACCUUUCAGUGGGAGUAGCGGAGUAACGGAGAGAAGACCGACUCCACCUCACUCCACCAAGCCUCCUCUCCUCCUCCUCCUCCAACUCCGGCACUCCCGACAUCCGCCCCAAGCAGCUAGACUGAGUAUCAGGCAGGAAAGCGUCGCGUCCUAACACCACAUCCAGCGCCGGGGACGGAAAAGAACAACGAGAUCGAGCCGCCACGAGGAAGAAAUCUGAUAAAGUUAAGUGAGAAAAAAGAAUUGUGAACCGGAGCUUACCGCGCGUGAGGAGACUAAAGUAAUAACCGAGUGGGUGAAGAAAAGUGUUGAUCCGUGCUGAGUGUCAUGAGUGUGUGUAACUGAUACCGUAAAGCGACCCCGAAGUGUUAUGAGAAGAAUGGAAGAGCCCGGGAACCCUUCGUCUCCGUCUGGGCUGGCGGGGGAGGCGAAAGGCAGGAGGAAUGAAAGGAAAGCAAAGGGACAGUGCUCCGCGUGGCUCUCCGGCGGCUCCUCCCCCCUCGUGUCCACGCCUCGCAUCCUCUGCCUUGUCCUGCUCUUCGGCCUCACCCAGCGCGCCUCGGGCUCCGACUCCAUCAGAAUAGGUGAGUUGACUUUCCAGUUCAUCUUUCACUUUCCG